UACGGGGGGGGUAAGCGUUGUUCGGAAUUACUGGGCGUAAAGGGCGCGUAGGUGGCCCGUCAAGCGCGCGGUGAAAGCCCGGGGCUCAACCCCGGGAGGCGGGUGGAUACUGUCAAGCUCGAGUCCGGAAGAGGCGAGUGGAAUUCCUGGUGUAGCGGUGAAAUGCGCAGAUAUCAGGAGGAACACCAAUGGCGAAGGCAGCUCGCUGGGGACGUGACUGACGCUGAGACGCGAAAAGCGUGGGGGGGAGCAAAACAGGAUUAGAAA
rnacentral:rRNA from 1 species